GGAAGGUGUCGGGUAGUUGCUCCGACGUAACGUCGGAGAGGAAAGUCCGAACAUUCAUUGUGAGAUAUCGCACAUGUGCAAUUUCACAAAAGAGUAGCAGGUAAUGCCUGUCGGGAGCAAUCCUAGAGAUGCGAACAGAAACGAUCCGGUUAAGUCCGGCUGAAACGGCAAAAUUCUUACCCGAAUGCAAGGCCGUGCCCCUCCCCAAUUUUUUCAAACUGGGGAGGGGAGUGCCGCUAUAGGUUCUAAGUGAUUAGAAUCACAGAUAAAUAACUAUCGAUAACAGAAUUCGGCUUAUAGACACCCAGCC
rnacentral:RNase_P_RNA from 2 species